AGACAUGUUCCAUCUGCUAGUGAGGUAUGAUCUGUUUCUAUGUGACAUCAUCACAUUACACUUGAGAAGACUAAUGCCAGUUUAUAAACACUAAACCUUGGCUCGGUUUCAAAACUCCUUACUACCUGCCACGAGAAUCCAUCCUUAACAUACAGGAUUCUGAAGACUAUCCACCUUCAAGAUCACCAUCAUUUUCUAUAGUUUCAGAGUUAUCUGCCAACGAUCAUGUUUCAGUCACAUCAUGUAUGUCACAUAGCUACAGUAUAUCAUCUGUAGAAAAAACGAAAAAAAAAUCUCCAUCAUCCAGAAACAACCAUAGAUAAGUUUGUGAUAAGAACCAGCAGAUUACAAAAAGAGGUCAUUGAUGAAAACAUUGCCCAGUUUGUUUAU